UACGGCCGCAUCACGUCGAAACUUCGGUUCCCGUGCGAUCAACGAAGUUAAGAAACAUCGAUCCCCGUCAGUACUUAGCUGGGUAACCGCUUGUGAAUACCAGGUGCUGUAAG